rnacentral:rRNA from 1 species
UACGGAGGGUGCAAACGUUGCUCGGAAUCAUUGGGCGUAAAGCGCACGUAGGCGGCGCGUUAAGUCGGGUGUGAAAGCCCUGGGCUCAACCCAGGAAGUGCAUUCGAAACUGGCGCGCUUGAAUAUGGAAGAGGGUCGCGGAAUUCCCGGUGUAGAGGUGAAAUUCGUAGAUAUUAGGAAGAACACCGGUGGCGAAGGCGGCCCACUGGAUCGGUACUGACGCUGAGGUGCGAAAGCGUGGGGAGCAAACAGG